rnacentral:rRNA from 1 species
UACAGAGGUCUCGAGCGUUAUUCGGAAUCACUGGGCUUAAAGAGUCCGUAGGCGGCCUGUUAGGUGAGGUGUGAAAUCCCCCGGCUCAACCGAGGAAUUGCGCUUCAAACCGGCAGGCUUGAGGAGGAUAGAGGUGGGCGGAACUGAUGGUGGAGCGGUGAAAUGCGUUGAUAUCAUCAGGAACACCGGAGGCGAAAGCGGUCCACUGGGUCCUUUCUGACGCUGAGGGACGAAAGCUAGGGGAGCGAACGGG